rnacentral:misc_RNA from 1 species
UAAAAAGUUUCUUAUUUCCU